rnacentral:rRNA from 1 species
AGUGAACGCUGGCGGUAGGCCUAACACAUGCAAGUCGAACGGCAGCACAGUAAGAGCUUGCUCUUACGGGUGGCGAGUGGCGGACGGGUGAGGAAUACAUCGGAAUCUACUUUUUCGUGGGGGAUAACGUAGGGAAACUUACGCUAAUACCGCAUACGACCUACGGGUGAAAGCAGUGGAUCUUCGGACCUUGCGCGAUUGAAUGAGCCGAUGUCGGAUUAGCUAGUUGGCGGGGUAAAGGCCCACCAAGGCGACGAUCCGUAGCUGGUCUGAGAGGAUGAUCAGCCACCCUGGAACUGGGACACGGUCCAGGCUCCUACGGUAGGCAGCAGUGGGGAAUAUUGGACAAUGGGCGCAAGCCUGAUCCAGCCAUACCGCGUGGGUGAAGAAGGCCUUCGGGUUGUAAAGCCCUUUUGUUGGGAAAGAAAAGCAGCAGGUUAAUACCCCGCUGUUCUGACGGUACCCAAAGAAUAAGCACCGGCUAACUUCGUG